rnacentral:rRNA from 1 species
AUGUUGAGACGCGGCAGACGGCUCAGUAACACGUGGCUAACCUACCCUCAGGACAGGGACAAACCCGGGAAACUGGGGCUAAUACCAGAUAGGUGAGGAUGCCUGGAAUGGUUUUUCGCUCAAAGGACCUUGGAAACAUGCUUUCAAGUCGCCUGAGGAUGGGGCCGCGUCCGAUCAGGUUGUUGGUGAGGUAACGGCUCACCAAGCCUAUAACCGGUACGGGCCGUGAGAGCGGUAGCCCGGAGAUGGGUACUGAGACAAGGACCCAGGCCCUACGGGGCGCAGCAGUCGCGAAAACUCCGCAAUGCACGAAAGUGUGACGGGGCUACCCCGAGUGCUCUCCGCUGAGGAAAGCUUUUCUCUGGUGUAACAAGCCAGGGGAAUAAGGAGAGGGCAAGACUGGUGUCAGCCGCCGCGGUAAUACCAGCUCUCCGAGUGGUAGGGAUGAUUAUUGGGCUUAAAGCGUCCGUAGCCGGCUUAGCAAGUUUCCUGUUAAAUUCAGCGACCUAAUCGUUGAGCCGCGGGAAAUACUACUAGGCUAGGAGGCGGGAGAGGUCGACGGUACUUCUGGGGUAGGGGUGAAAUCCUAUAAUCCCGGGAGGACCACCAGUGGCGAAGGCUGUCGACUAGAACGCGCUCGACGGUGAGGGACGAAAGCUGGGGGAGCGAACCGGAUUAGAUACCCGGGUAGUCCCAGCUGUAAACGAUGCGGGCCAGGUGUUGGGGUGGCUACGUGCCACUUCAGUGCCGCAGGGAAGCCAUUUAACCCGCCGCCUGGGGAGUAACGGCCGCAGGCUGAAACUCAAAUGAAUUGAACGAAACACU